CGGGGGGGGCGGGAGGGCCUGAAACCUAACGAGGGGGCGGAACUCAGGGAACGGAACUAUGGCGGCGAGACUAUGGCGGCGAGACGAAAGGGAACGCAAUGAAAGGGGGCGUGCCUAGAGGGGCCCAAGGAGAGCGAACUUAAGUAAGGGGGGGCUGCCUGGAGACGGCCCAACUAAGCCGGGUGAGGUGAGGCGGAGGACGGGGCACACGGUUGCUGACAGGGCGCUGCCUUAGUGGUUCAGCUCCCGCUCAGGGAACGUCCCGUCAUGUCGCGCCUUUACCUUUGGUCCCCGCUGCUCCUCCUUUCGUGGCCACCGUUGUGGCUUCUGGUCCAGGUAGCUCAGGCGUCGGACUGGGCCCUGGACCAUGUCCCCCUGACCUCCGACCCCCCAGGGCUGACCUCUGAACGCUCACUGGACUCGCCCCAUGUGCUUGCACCCUCGGCAGAGCCGGGGGGCUUGGCUUACUCGACGGCCUCCUCUCCAGCCCAGAUGUUCGCCCCGCCCAGUCAGGAGGUAACGGAGACUUUCGUUCCAGACCCGGACUUGGAUUCAGUUGAUUUUGUAGAGGACCCAGAUCCACCUACUGAGCCCCCUGAGGAGGUGGAAUCCUCACUCCAGGAAGAGGCCCCUGCUCAGCAUCCACAGCCCACAGAAGAGGUAGAAUCACCUCCACUUGAGCAGGAGGCUCUGUUUCAGCCUCCAGAGGCCCCUGAGGAAAUGGAAACUUCAAGCCUUCAGGAGGCCCUCCUAGCUCAAGCUUCGGAGACACUUAAGGAGGCUGGAGGGCAGCCAUCAGCACGUCAUAGGGUAAAUGAAGCUCAGCAGUCAGGCUGGCACAGUGUCACUGUGACACCUCUGGAUCUGGCCCUUACCGUAACUCCAGAGGUCACUAAAAAGGUUGAACCUUCUCCAGUCCAGCAGCAUGCCUUAUUGCAGGCCCCAGAGAGCCCUGAGGAGUCUGAAACUCCUCCAGUCCUGGAGGAGGCCCCACCUCAGCCUCCAGAGCGCCCCG
rnacentral:lncRNA from 1 species